AAGAAAAGAGAAAAGAGCAUACGGUGGAUGCCUAGGCUCUCGGAGGCGAAGAAGGACGUGACAAGCUGCGAAAAGCUACGGAUAACCGCAAAUAGGUGAUUGACCCGUAGAUAUCCGAAUGGGGCAACCCAAUAAUCACAGGCAACUGUGAGGCCAACCCGCUGAACUGAAACAUCUAAGUAAGCGGAGGAAAAUAAAUCAAAAAGAGAUUCCCCUAGUAGUGGCGAGCGAAAAGGGAAUAGCCCAAACCAUACAUGUUUCGGCAUGUACGGGGUUGUAGGACCGGAGGAUUUGAGAAGGUAUGAAUUAGAAGUGGUUUGGAAAGACCCACCAAAGAAGGUGACAGUCCUGUAGAAGUAAGUACUCAUCGAAGCCGGUAUCCUGAGUAAGGCGGGUCACGUGUAACCCUGUCUGAAUCUAGGUGGACCAUCAUCUAAGGCUAAAUACUCCCGAGAGACCGAUAGUGAACCAGUACCGUGAGGGAAAGGUGAAAAGUACCCCAAACAGGGGAGUGAAAAAGACCCUGAAACCGUAUGUUUACAAGCGGUCGAAGUUCGUAAGGAACGACGGCGUGCCUUUUGCAUAAUGAGCCUACGAGUUACACCUCACUAGCAAGGUUAAUGAUUUAAGAUCAGGAUCCGGAGCGAAAGCGAGUCUUAACAGGGCGAAUAAGUUAGUGGGGGUAGACGCGAAACUUUGUGAUCUACCCAUGGACAGGUUGAAGCUUCGCUAAACCGAAGUGGAGGACCGAACCAGUUAUCGUUGAAAAGAUUUUGGAUGAACUGUGGGUAGGGGUGAAAGGCCAAUCAAACUGAGAGAUAGCUCGUACUCCCCGAAAUGCAUUUAGGUGCAGCCUUGAGAAGUUAGUAUUGCAGAGGUAGAGCUACUGAUUAGACGAGGGGGCUUCACCGCCUACCGACUCUAGCCAAACUCCGAAUGCUGCAAUAUGGUCCUCAGGAGUGAGGGCACGAGUGCUAAGGUUCGUGUCCGAGAGGGAAAUAACCCAGACUAUCAGCUAAGGCCCCCAAAUAUAUGCUAAGUUGAACAAACGCGGUUUUGUUGCAUAGACAGCUAGGAUGUUGGCUUGGAAGCAGCCAUUCAUUUAAAGAGUGCGUAACAGCUCACUAGUCGAGCGACAGAGCAUGGAUAAUAAUCGGGCAUCAAGCAUAUUGCCGAAGCUAUAGACUUAAUUUUAAUUAAUUAAUUGGUAGGGGAGCAUUCUAAUGUUGCAGAAUCCGACAGGGUAACCUUUGGUGGAGAUAUUAGAAAAGAAAAUGUAGGCAUAAGUAACGAUAAUGCAGGUGAGAACCCUGCACGCCGAAAGGCUAAGGCUUCCGCGGCAAUGUUAAUCAACCGUGGGUUAGUCGGGACCUAACGCGAACCCGAAAGGGGUAGUGGAUGGCAAACAGGUUAAUAUUCCUGUACCACUUAUUCAAUGAAAGUGACGGAGGUUAUAGGCUGCUAGGAGCAGACGGAAUAGCUCGUAGAGCAGAGCCUUCGGGCGAAGCGAAGCAGAUAGUAACCUUCCAAGAAAAGCGAGAAUAAGGCCCGUACCGCAAACCGACACAGGUAGCCGGGUUGAGUAUACUAAGGCGCUCGGGCGAUUCAUGGCUAAGGAACUAGGCAAAAUAGACCUGUAACUUCGGGAGAAAGGUCUCCAUAGCAAUAUGGACGCAGAGAAAUGGCGCAAGCGACUGUUUAGCAAAAACACAAGGCUUUGCAAAUUCGAAAGAAAACGUAUAAGGCCUGACACCUGCCCGGUGCUGGAAGGUUAAGAGGAGUAGUCAUCGUAAGAGAAGCUAUGAAUUGAAGCCCCAGUAAACGGCGGCCGUAACUAUAACGGUCCUAAGGUAGCGAAAUUCCUUGUCGGGUAAGUUCCGACCUGCACGAAUGGUGUAACGACUUGCGCACUGUCUCGGCCAUGAUCCCGGUGAAAUUGUAGUAUCGGUGAAGAUGCCGAUUACCCGCAACGGGACGGAAAGACCCCGUGAACCUUUACUAUAGCUUAACAUUGUUUUUGGACUUGCGAUGUGUAGGAUAGGCCGGAGGCUAUGAAGGUGUACCGCUAGGUAUGCUGGAGCCAACCUUGAAAUACGGCCCUUUGCACGUUUGGAAUCUAACCCGAAAGGGGACAUUGUUUGGUGGGUAGUUUGACUGGGGUGGUCGCCUCCAAAAGAGUAACGGAGGCUUCUAAAGGUUUCCUCAGCACGCUUGGUAACCGUGCGUAGAGUGCAAUGGCACAAGGAAGCUUGACUGAGAGACCGACAAGUCGAUCAGGUACGAAAGUAGAGCAUAGUGAUCCGGUGGUUCCGUAUGGAAGGGCCAUCGCUCAAAGGAUAAAAGGUACUCCGGGGAUAACAGGCUGAUCGCUCCCAAGAGCUCAUAUCGACGGAGCGGUUUGGCACCUCGAUGUCGGCUCGUCACAUCCUGGGGCUGGAGAAGGUCCCAAGGGUUGGGCUGUUCGCCCAUUAAAGUGGCACGCGAGCUGGGUUCAGAACGUCGUGAGACAGUUCGGUCCCUAUCUGUUGCGGGCGUAGGAUGUUUGCGAGGAUCUGACUCUAGUACGAGAGGACCGGGUUGGACUAACCUCUGGUGUAUCGGUUGUUUCGCCAGGAGCACAGCCGAGUAUCUAUGUUGGGAAGGGAUAAGCGCUGAAAGCAUCUAAGCACGAAGCCUACCUCAAGAUGAGACAUCCCUAAAGGGUCGUUGGAGAUGACAACGUUGAUAGGCAGCAGGUGUAAAGGCAGUAAUGUCAAAGCCAAGCUGUACUAAUUGCCCGAAUGAUUUUCUUCA
rnacentral:rRNA from 1 species